GUUAUAUUUACACUGCAAUUAGAAGGUCUGAUCACCAGCACAUCUAGACUUACCUGUACUAUAGAGCAUAGCUAUGGAAGUGCAAGCAGUGGGAGGGGUUAGCCAUCCGGAAUAUGAUCCCAUCCAAGACUCUAGGUGUCACACUUUCAAGAUCUUCUCCACAUUCCCGUGGGCUAGAAACUUGCUAUUUAAAAUGAAAGUUCUUUGCUAUUUGUUUUUAAAGAAUGGAUUUCCUUUGACUGCUUAUAACCCGAGUCACUGAAGUUGAAACCAGAUACUGGAGAUUGGUAUCAUGUAACUGGAUAUCCUCAUCCGAAGAAUAUCUGCCACUAAUGUUUGGAGAGGAAGAGAUGUUGGGAUCUGCCUACUACCUUCCUCAUAAGCAAGCAGAAGGCUCUCCCUGAGCAAAAAUUCCCAUGUUUAAAAUAAAGGUCAUGAUUCAUUGUG